AAAAAAAAACAAAAAAGGGACUGCAUUUCGAUCGUAAUUACGUUUUUGUAAGUUGUUGUUUAUGUGGCGGAGAGUCGAAUCGAAAUGCAGAAUACUAAAGUUGCCAAACCGAGAAAAUAUCGAUUCAAAUUGAAAUGCAGAAUAGGGGCCAUUGAAUUUAACAUGAAAAAUGGACAACACUUAACUGAAAAUAUUUUGGGUAAUAUCAUAUUUCAUAUUGCAGCGAAUAUUUUGAGCACCAUUUUUUGUGAGUCGGUCUAAUAUACAUAUGUUUCUAUAUGUAAAAUAUUGGUUUGUGAACCUACACAAAUACCAAUACAACAUUUUUAACAUCAUUAAAGUGAGUUAAGGUUGUUGUUUUUCUCUAUUUUACUUAAUAUUACCUACUCGUCGUUAUAAUCCAUCUAUCCAUCCAUAUGGUUUAUAUUUGGUAAUGGACGUAGUCUCGAACAUUUGUAUCUGUAUUUAUUUAAUUUUGAUGUUGAUAGUAAUAGUUCCACACAACUGUAUAGAAUGUACCGAAAGGAAAGUGAAAAUUUGUGGAUAUAACAUCUAAAAGUUACGACGACGUCGACCACUGAAAUGGCCUUCCCCCUGUAAAAACCACUCCUCGCCAUUAAAUCCUCUAAUGCAGCCCAUCAUCUAUUAUGUACACACAUAGACAAACUGACAUACAUAUAUACAUAUUCAUUGGUUAUAUGAGUUUAACUUGUAAUUCUCUGUGUGUUUGUAUUGUAUUUUGCAUUCUCAUAACCUUUGUAAAAAUUGUUGUUUUUCUUCUCAAAGUUAGAUAGAAGAGAUAUAAAAAGAGAAUUCUCUUGUUGCAGUAAAAAUAAAAAAAGAUUUCUCUAUCGUUACGAUACUGUUGUUGCAAUUUUCAUGUAGUUUUUCGUGUCGCUUCUUUUUUUAUUUGUGGAAUUAAAUAUGAAUGUUCUACUUUAAGCAUUGUUUUUCCUUUUUCUGUGUUUAUUAUUGUUGGAGUAGGGAAAUUGUGUAUAUUUUUUUAUAUAUAAUACGUAGACUUUGUCGGUAUUGCAGGCUUACUGAAAGUGCUAUUAUAUAAGCAUUUUAAAAAAAUGUAAUUUAACAAACUAUGAUUUACCAACUAAAUUGAUAAUUUUAAUUGAAAAUUUUGCAAAAUUAUUGGUAAAAUCGUUUCUAAUAUAAAAUAGAUAUUUACAAAUACAUAUUACAUAUAAAUAAAUUAGUUUUAUAUUCCAUAAAAAUAUUUAUUAUAAAUUAUAAUUUUGCUUUAAAAGUUCUCUUAAACUUGUCGCUUAAACUUUUACCGUCAAUAUGAAUUUCUCGAAUUUUAUAUCGGACAAGCUACUAGAAGAUGUUUUAUUAUCAUUAGGACUUUAUUAAAGCCAUAACUUGUUAGAAGUAAGUCGAUAGAACUAACUAAUAUUCGCCAUUGAAAAGUUCUGAAAAAUCACUUUUAAGAUGAUAGUAUCUGUCCCAAUUCUAAACAUUUAAAAUUAAGUAAAAUUGUUCACAAACAUAAAUAUGUAUGUACAUAUUUAUGUAUAUCUAUUAAAACAAUUAAGAAUCUGCCACUUACAUACAUAUGGUAGUGAAAAAAAUGUUUGUUUAUUUCUUUAAAUGUGCCAACAGAGCGACCAACAAACCCUAAAAUAAUGCGUACCAGAAUUAGACUCUCCAUGCAGUGGGUCUGGGUCGUGUUAAACAAUAUUCAACGCUUGCGUUUAAAUACAACAAAAAUAAAGUAUUUGUUUUGAUUAUUUGAUAUAGACAUGUAUUACUCUUAUGAGUAUGUAUUUUAUACACCGUUUAUUUUGGCAACAAUAAAAAAUUAUUUGUUUGUUGUUUUGUUUUGUUAUUAGCACACAAGAUUUGAAUGCAAAUGCGCAUGAGAGAGAAGUCAAAUACACAUACACACACCGAAACAACAUUUUACUUACACACAUACAAGAUAAGAAAAAAAUAUAAACAAUUAUAAGUGAGAGUGAAAAUUAUUUGUAAAUAUAAAAAAAUAAGUGAGGGGAUCUAUCUGUGGGAGUUGGGGAUUAAAAUAUUCGAGCUAAACGCUUAAAGAGAAAGAGAAAAAUGUUUAGGUGUAUGUGAGUGAACGAGCAAACAACAUUGUUUUUUAGGUAUGAUUGCUGACUGGAUGGAUGGAUGGCUGGUGUUGUUGCUAAAUGUUUUUUGUGUAUUUUUCUACUUCUACAACUGCGAAAUUCGUUGGGAGCUGUGAAACGUUGUAUAUUUCGUCUUCUUUCGUGUUUGUUGUGUGUUUGCAGCCAAACAGUCGUCAUCACUUUUACAUACACGACGGUUUAUUAAACAAAUUCGACGCUAAAUCACAUGAGUAUAACACCAAUAAUCUUUAUGAACGUACGUAAACAUUAAUUUUGUUGUUGCAAAAAGUUUAAGUUAAAAAUUGGAUUUUGGAGUAAGAAUGAAAGCGAUAGAAAAACAUCCUCCCGCGCCCUUAAAUCAUUAACAGCAUACAAAAUAAACAUUAUUUCGAUAACUUGAGGUAGUGAAUGUAUUGGCCUCAACAACAAACCCAGAUAAACAAUAAGCUAAAAUAAACCAACCAGCCACUCUAUCUAUCAGUAAAGCAGUUAGUCAGUUAGUAAAACUGCUAAAGCACCAGCACCAUCAACAACACCAUCAGCACCAGCAGCAAACAGCAAUAGCAAUAACAAUACUAACAACAGCUACAACAACGGCAGCGCAUGCUUAUACGAACUCACUGCCCAACAACAACAACAAAUAUAUGUACAACACAGAAACCUAAAGAAAAAAACAGCAACAGAAAAAUAAAACACAAAAAAAUUAUAUCGAGUCGCAGCCACUUCAACCGUAAUCAACUUAUUUCAAAAACUACAAAUUUCAGUUUCGCUGAUACCGUAAGAGAUAAACGACGUUUGUGUUGAAACGUUCGAAGCGAAAACCAACAAAAAAAUUAA
rnacentral:lncRNA from 1 species